ACUAAAGGGGGUCCCCAAUCCCUGCAGAAUUUGUCGUCGCCGGCAGUUAUGGGAUGUCUAGGGCUACCUUGUUGGGCUGUCUUGUCUCUGUAGGGCUGUCUUGUCUAAUUCAUUCUACUGAUGCAUCAGGAUACGGUUGUAAGCCAGUUCCGCUCCCCAAGGUAGUGUGUUUUCUUUUCCAGGUAGUGCUUGACUAAAGUCUUCUUUCCGAGGUAAGGGCCACUGUUUAACGGCCUACACACAAACACGAUAAUGUAUGCCAAUAUUGUGCCUGAUUUGUGAAAAGCAAGUACAAAUUUGUAUCGGAUUAAAUACCUUCGAAGAGAUGUACUAAUUGACUUGACGAUAGUAGGCUCGCUUGUAGAAAUAUAUAGUCCGAGGGACAAAUACCAAGCGGAGCUUGGUGUAGCGUUCAAUCGGCUGAUUGAAACGUUACACACCCCCCAAGGUACCGAAAAAUUUUUUCACAGGGACUUGGAAAAAAUUUUUUCAAAAAAAAAUAAAUAGUUUUAAAAAAAAAUGUGAAUAAGAAGAAGAAUGACAAGUAAGAAUGGCAGAAAGAAAAUGUUGAUAAAAAACUCGAGUGAAAAGAAGAAGAAGCAGAAGAAGAAUGAAUAAGUAGGGUAAUUAUAUUAUAAGAUAAUAUUAAAAAGAAAACAAGAAGAAGAAAUAGUUGAUUUGAAAGAGAGAUAGAGAAAGAGACAGAAAGAGAGAGAGAGAGAGAGAGAGAGAGAGAGAGAGAGAGAGAGAGAGAGAGACAAUAUUUAGCACAAAUCAAGUUAUUAAAGUUAAAUAUAAAUAUUUGGACCAGCAAUAAAAAAUUGUUGCUAAUAGCUGUACUAUAAAAUUCAACUGUCUAGUAAGAAAUGACGCUAACUAGCUAGUUAAGCCUUGUUCUCUGAAUUUUUGCUGCAGAAACCUUCAUUCGAAGAAAAAGAAUAAAGCAUUGUAUUUAUAACUAAAAAUAAGCUGAAUUAAUAUUUAACAAAUUCUGUAGGUAUACCUAAUUAAUACUAAAAGCUAAAAUUUAAACUUACAAUAUAAAUAAAAUAAAUAAUAAGGGAUGCGCCUUUGGAGUAAAAUAAAGCACCCCUAGGUCAAAGCAAAAGUUAGGCAGGAAGCACAACAUAUUAUUCAGCCUAUCAAUAAAAAUGGAGGUACGGUAAUAUGAGAUAAACAAAA
rnacentral:lncRNA from 1 species